UGGGGAAUAUUGCACAAUGGGGGAAACCCUGAUGCAGCGACGCCGCGUGAAGGAUGAAGUAUUUCGGUAUGUAAACUUCUAUCAGCAGGGAAGAAAAUGACGGUACCUGACUAAGAAGCCCCGGCUAACUACGUGCCAGCAGCCGCGGUAAUACGUAGGGGGCAAGCGUUAUCCGGAUUUACUGGGUGUAAAGGGAGCGUAGACGGUUAUGUAAGUCUGAUGUGAAAACCCGGGGCUCAACCCCGGGACUGCAUUGGAAACUAUGUAACUAGAGUGUCGGAGAGGUAAGUGGAAUUCCUAGUGUAGCGGUGAAAUGCGUAGAUAUUAGGAGGAACACCAGUGGCGAAGGCGGCUUACUGGACGAUCACUGACGUUGAGGCUCGAAAGCGUGGGGAGCAAACAGG
rnacentral:rRNA from 1 species